UACGGAGGAUGCAAGCGUUAUCCGGAAUUAUUGGGCGUAAAGCGUCCGCAGGUGGUUGUGCAAGUCUGCUGUCAAAGCGCGGAGCUUAACUCCGUAAAGGCAGUGGAAACUGAACGACUAGAGUUGGUAGGGGUAGCGGGAAUUCCCAGUGUAGCGGUGAAAUGCGUAGAUAUUGGGAAGAACACCAGCGGCGAAAGCGACGCUGACUGGACCGAGACUGACACUCAUGGACGAAAGCUAGGGGAGCGAAUGGG
rnacentral:rRNA from 1 species